GGAGGGUGUGGCCAGAGCAGGAAGAGACAACCUUUGACCUCACAUCCUCCUCAUGGCUGCUCCAGACACUGCUCCUGCUUUGUUUCAUGCAAUCCUCAGUUUAUCUCUGCAAUCCUUGUCUUCAGUUAAGCCCUGACCCUCUGAGAGUUUUGUUUAUCUACCGUUUGUAAUGAAGACUGUUUUAUAUUUUGUGGCUAACAUCUGUCUGUGGACCUUGGAUUGUUUUGGAUGUGGAGAGUCAGACAUUUUGUCUCAGCCACCAUACUGUUUAUCAGCAGCAACAAGGAUAAGACGUGACUGAAGCUGAGACAGUGAAGACCAUGAGAUGCUCCAACUGCAGGUUCCACAUUAAAAAUGAAUCACAUGAGGACGAUGCUGCAGACAGACGGGAGUUCAGUGUCACACUGCUGGCCCUCCAAGCAUCCACCCAUAUUUUCUAAUCCCUCUUGGACCUGGACUGACCCCUCGGGUAUCCAUCUGUUUAAUGACUUCUGUCCUAAAGAGCCUGUAAAGCAAAACACUGUCACAAGAAUGAAUAAAGAAAGUGAUACUCAGUGCUGCAGAAUUUUAUAUGCAUUAAAGGUUAACUUCUGUAUUUUAUUUUUGUAUUUCAGAUCACAUUUUCAAAUUUUUUUUAAUUGGUGCAGUGCUGAGUAGGGACAGUGUACCUGGUAGAAAAGUACAAUUGUCCACGUCAAUGGACGCCCACUAAAGUUCUUGUUUUUGCCAUCGACAAACUCUGAUUGUGUGUGACAACAUUGUGCAUAGGAUUCC